rnacentral:rRNA from 1 species
CACAGAGGGUGCGAACGUUGCUCGGAAUCACUGGGCGUAAAGCGCGUGUAGGCGGACAAUCAAGUCAGGUGUGAAAUCCCUGGGCUCAACCUAGGAACUGCAUCUGAAACUGGCUGUCUUGAGUGUCGGAGAGGGAAGCGGAAUUCUGGGUGUAGAGGUGAAAUUCGUAGAUAUCCGGAGGAACACCGGUGGCGAAGGCGGCUUCCUGGACGACUACUGACGCUGAGACGCGAAAGUGUGGGGAGCAAAC